CCUACGGGCGGCUGCAGUGAGGAAUAUUGGUCAAUGGGCGGGAGCCUGAACCAGCCAAGUCGCGUGAGGGAAGACGGUCCUAUGGAUUGUAAACCUCUUUAGGCGGGGAGCAAUGCCGGGCACGCGUGCCCGGAGGGAGAGUACCCGCAGAAUAAGCAUCGGCUAACUCCGUGCCAGCAGCCGCGGUAAUACGGGGGAUGCGAGCGUUGUCCGGAUUUAUGGGGGUUAAAGGGUGCGUAGGCGGAUUUUUAAGUCAGCGGUAAAAUGUCCGGGCUCAACCCGGGCCGGCCGUUGAAACUGGGGAUCUUGAGUGGGCGAGAAGUAUGCGGAAUGCGUGGUGUAGCGGUGAAAUGCAUAGAUAUCACGCAGAACUCCGAUUGCGAAGGCAGCAUACCGGCGCCCGACUGACGCUGAGGCACGAAAGCGUGGGGAUCGAACAGGAUUAGAUACCCCAGUAGUC
rnacentral:rRNA from 1 species